rnacentral:rRNA from 1 species
GACGAACGCUGGCGGCGUGCUUAACACAUGCAAGUCGAACGGAAAGGCCCUGCUUUUGUGGGGUGCUCGAGUGGCGAACGGGGGAGUAACACGCGAGUAACCUGCCCUUGACUUUGGGAUAACUUCAGGAAACUGGGGCUAAUAUCCGAUAGGAGCUCCUGCUGCAUGGUGGGGGUUGGAAAGUUUCGGCUGUUGGGGAUGGACUCGCGGCUUAUGAGCUUGUUGGUGGGGUAGUGGCUUACCAAGGCUUCGACGGGUAGCCGGCCUGGGAGGGUGACCGGCCACAUUGGGCCUGCGAUACGGCCCAGACUCCUACGGGAGGCAGCAGUGGGGAAUAUUGCACAAUGGGCGGACGCCUGAUGCGGCGACGCCGCGUGCGGGAUGACGGCCUUCGGGUUGUAAACCGCUUUCGCCUGUGACGAAGCGUGAGUGACGGUAAUGGGUAAAGAAGCACCGGCUAACUACGUG